rnacentral:rRNA from 1 species
UAAGUCAGAGGUGAAAUCCCACAGCUUAACUGUGGAACUGCCUUUGAUACUGUUAGUCUUGAGUCAUAAUGAAGUAGAUGGAAUGUGUAGUGUAGCGGUGAAAUGCAUAGAUAUUACACAGAACACCGAUUGCGAAGGCAGUCUACUAAUUAUGUACUGACGCUAAUGGACGAAAGCGUGGGUAGCGAACAGGAUUAGAUACCCUGGUAGUCCACGCCGUAAACGAUGGAUACUAGCUGUUGGGUUCAAUUAGUUGGACUCUGUGGAAGCAAAGUGAUAAGUAUCCCACCUAGGGAGUACGUUCGCAAGAAUGAAACUCAAAGGAAUGGACGGGGGCCCGCACAAGCGGUGGAGCAUGUGGUUUAAUUCGAUGAUACGCGAGGAACCUUACC